CGGCUCCCGCCGCCGUCGCCUCGGGGGCUCAAAGCGCCGGCUCCCUCAGCCUGAGGGGCGCGCCCCGGCCCAGCUUCUGUCCGCCUGGCGUCGGCUUGCUCCCGCGGAACGCGCAGGCCGGCCCGCUAACUCUCAGGCCGCCGCUCCGGCCGCUGCUUGGGCUCCUCCGGCUCGCGCUCCUCUGAGAAACCCACAAGCCCGGCAGCCGCGGCGCUGGCGGCGGCGGCAGGCGGCAUCCCAGGGUGAUAGGCCGAAGCAAUCGAGUGCCGAGCUCACGGCCGCGUGUGCAAUCCAGUAACCGAGCGGAGGAGGAACUGCCGCCGAAGACAGCAAAAAUCGGGCACCGAAAUACUCAGCGGGCCAGGCCCGCCUACUUUCCUAAGACUAUCCUGCUCCGACCGCCUCUCGGUGCGGGGAUCCUCGAGCUGCUGGUGGAAGCAGAGACGGUGUUGGGGAGGCGGAGAGAAAACGGGGUGCGGGAAAUUUAAAAAGAUGGGAAAGGCGCUUCCCUUUUAUCUUAGCCCCUAUCCUGUUGAUUUCUGGACCAAUGCUUCUUUCUCGGACGAAGAACAUGAAGACGCUGCUUUAUCUAACAGUCACCUCGGAAGAAACGCCAUGGUUCCUCCACAAGGGAGAUCUGGCCCCGCGUCUUGGAUCCUGAGAUCUGUGCGAGAUCCCGGCUUUGCGCCCUGUCCGCCCUGGAGCUGGAUUUAUCAUCAGUUUAGAAUAGCAUGGCUACGAUGUGUGGUGCGGAUGGAUGGACGAGCCCCGCAAGUGCAGACAGGACAGUCCACAUCACCUGCCAAAGCAGCCAGCAAUGCAACAGCUCUCCAAGAUCAGGCCUAGGUGGAUCACUGACCUGGCUAAAAGUACCAAGAAGGCCUGGAUCAUUGUGGUGCCUCUCUCCAGAAAAUGGUGACAAAAAUUGAAAUCAACCAGCACAUCAGGAUCCUCUGUGGCAAGACCAAGAUAAUAAUGGGGGACACUGUCAUCUGGCACUGUGGUUCCUUCACGACAACAGUGGCUGGUGGGUCCUAGAUUUACAACAUCACUUCUGCUGUCACAGUCAAACCGGCCAUCAGGAGACUGAAGGAAAUUAAAGACCAGUAGAAGUGCUACUGUUUGAGCAGCCCUGGCCUGCAAUAAAUGAGUUCAUUCCUAUGAAAGGUUGUAAUAAAGUGUUGGUUGAGUAAC